rnacentral:rRNA from 1 species
AAGGGCGACUGAAGCGUCACAAGCUCACCAUGUGAAUCUGCGACGCCGAAUUGUGGUCUGGAAGCGUUUGCGCCCGGACCAAGUCCCUUGGAACAGGGCAGCUAAGAGGGUGACACUCCCGUACGUCCGACUGCGUUAACGAGUCGAGUUGUUUGGGAUUGCAGCUCUAAGUAGGUGGUAAAUUCCAUCCAAAGCUAAAUAUUGGUGGGAGACCGAUAGCGAACAAGUACCGUGAGGGAAAGAUGCAAAGAACUUUGAAAAGAGAGUUAAAGAGUACCUGAAAUUGCUGAAAGGGAAGCGAAGGAAAGCAGUGCGGCUCGGUCAUACUUCCCCUUGCGCUUGCGGAAGGGGCGCUGUGUCCAGCGUUGUCCCGUUCCAU